UACGGAGGAUCCGAGCGUUAUCCGGAUUUAUUGGGUUUAAAGGGUGCGCAGGCGGGAGAUUAAGUCGGCGGUGAAAUUUUGCAGCUCAACUGUAAAAGUGCCUUCGAAACUGGUUUCCUUGAGUGUGGAUGAAGUAGGCGGAAUUUGUGGUGUAGCGGUGAAAUGCAUAGAUAUCACGAGGAGCUCCGAUUGCGCAGGCAGCUUACUAAACUACUACUGACGCUCAUGCACGAAGGCGUGGGGAUCAAACAGGAUUAGAUACCCGGGUA
rnacentral:rRNA from 1 species